rnacentral:rRNA from 1 species
GAUGAACGCUAGCGGCAGGCCUAACACAUGCAAGUCGAGGGGGAAGUUACUUUCGGGUAACAGAGACCGGCGUACGGGUGCGUAACGCGUAUACAAUCUGCCUUUCACUGGGGGAUAGCCCGAAGAAAUUUGGAUUAAUACCCCAUAGUAUAGUAGUGUGGCAUCACACAACUAUUAAAGCCUUGGUGGUGAAAGAUGAGUAUGCGUUCUAUUAGCUAGUUGGAGAGGUAACGGCUCCCCAAGGCGAUGAUAGAUAGGGGUUCUGAGAGGGAUGUCCCCCACACUGGUACUCGAGAUACGGACCCAGACUCCUACGGGGAGGCAGCAGUGAGGGAAUAUUGGACAAUGGUCGGAAGACUGAUCCAGCCAUGCCGCGUGCAGGAUGAAGGUCUUAUGGAUUGUAAACUGCUUUUGUAAGGGAAGAAUAAGGACUACGUGUAGUUUGAUGACGGUACCUUACGAAUAAGCAUCGGCUAACUCCGUGCCAGCAGCCGCGGUAAUACGGAGGAUGCGAGCGUUAUCCGGAAUCAUUGGGUUUAAAGGGUCUGUAGGCGGGCUGGUAAGUCAGAGGUGAAAGCGCUUAGCUCAACUAAGCAACUGCCUUUGAAACUGUAGGUCUUGAAUGGUUGUGAAGUAGUUGGAAUGUGUAGUGUAGCGGUGAAAUGCUUAGAUAUUACACAGAACACCGAUAGCGAAGUGCAUAUUACUAACAAUUAAUUGACGCUGAUGGACGAAAGCGUGGGGAGCGAGCAGGAUUAGAUACCCUGGCAGUCCACGCUGUAAACGAUGGAUACUAGCUGUAUGGAGUAAUCUGAGUGGCUAAGCGAAAGUGAUACGUAUCCCACCUGGGGAGUACGUUCGCAAGAAUGAGACUCUAAGGAAUCGACGGGGGGCCCGCACAAGCGGUGGAGCAUGUGGUUUAAUUCGAUGAUACGCGAGGAACCUUACCAAGGUUUAAAUGGAGACUG